CUGACCUAAACGCAGCAUCCCUGGCUUUCAGCAGAGACCGGACCUCCGUGUUCAGCCAGGGUUUCUGGUUUGCGUAGGCCCGUCUGUACUGGGACAAAAAGAUCACCUUUCACAGGCCUCUGCAGCAGCUUCUGAACCAGGCCGCUGCCCUGGUCAACGCAGAGAAGCUCCUGCAAGUGGAAGGUAACCCAGCGCCUUCCUGUCAGCUGUGCCUGGGAAAGCUGGUGAUGCCAUUUGGCCAGUACCAGAAUGCCCCCAUUUCACUCGUUGGGGACAAAUGAUGUGGGCCACAUGAAGUUCCUGCUUGACAAACACAGAGCAGGGGUCACUAGCUCAAAUCCAAAGGGGGAUAUCAGAGAGCAGCCUGCAGCCACAGCCCGACCUGCGGCAAGGACAGAGCAGCCAAAAGCCGCAGCCUGACCUGUGGAGAGGACAAAGCAGCCAAAAGCCACUGCCCCACCUGCAGAGAGGACAGAGCAGCCAAAAGCUGCUGCCCGACCUGCGGAGAGAACAAAGCAGCCUAAAGUCAACAGCCAGCCCACAGAGUCCCCAUCCACCUCCAAGGUUAAUCUGAGUGAUUCCCCUGUGGAGCUAGAGGGUUGCGUGAAGAUGAGGGAAGACACCAAUGGAAUCCCAGCAGCUUACAUAUCCCGGCUGAAGGAGGACACUGAGUGAGGGCUGUUCACACUCGUGCAGCUCUACAAGGGUUAGGUUCAGGUCAGGAGGCGAAAGGUGAUGAAAUCUAAUCAUAGGUUAUUUUACCCACCUGAAGGAGUGCUCCUGGCUAUGUCAGUGGGGCUCUGCCAACUCCACAGGCCUUUUUCCGGGUCGUUGUGUGGUACCCUGUCAGAGUGUGGACGAACUCCUUCACUCCUUACAUGCAGUUUUGCUGCCAUACCCGGGUAUAACUUAUUACAAUGUAUGUAGAUGUGAAAGGAAAUAAAGAGCACAGAAAGUCAUAUACUGCUACUGACCUUUGUUUGAUUUGAUUUUUUUCCCCCAUAUUUAAUUUAGGUACAUCACAUCUGUGACAUGUCCAGGUGGUACACAGUCAUAACUGAGGUCCUCAGCUGUGGACCGUGUACCAAUGCAGCCAGGAGCAGAGAAGGUGGCACAGUGGGUCAGCAGCAUGCAGGGGAAGCCACCAUUUUAUCACAAGUUAGCAAGGCUCACCAAGCCGUGUUCCCUGCCACCUUCACCAGCAAGUGUGGAGUGGAAAGGACUGCAUUUGGGCACACAUUCCAGGCCCCAUGCACCUCCUCCAAGGAAUCAAGGUUUUGCCGGUACAAAAUCUCCCCACCUGCACACUCUGUGGCCAACACACUCAGGGACAUAAAAUAUAAACACACACAAAAUCCAUUCUGUCCUGUUCAGAUUGUAAAUAGUAUUUAUUUUUAUUACUUUUCAUUCUUAAACAUGUUCAAUGAUACUUUGUGCUGUUAUUCUGUGUGUUUCCCCAUCUCAUACACUUUGUUCAAUAAAGCUGUCAGUACUACAUUACAUAAGUUGUGGAACAUCAAUUCAUAGGGACACAGAGUGCCAGAUUACUUGCAUGAAAGGACAUUUACCUUCAUUUAUAGCUUUCUUCUAUUAUUGGACAUUAACAUUGUUAGAAUUAUAGGCAUUGCCAUUAUUAUGAUUACCAUUUUAACAGUCUGGUAGUGCUCUAAUACAACAGUGCAUACAGUUGUUCUCUUUUCUGAUUUAAACCUGAACUGGCUAAUAUUACAUGUAAGUAUAUUUAAUAUAUAUCAUAAAGUUCUUAGACUUUCCCUGGGUUGAGCCAUAUUGUCAACUCCUCUUGUGGUCUCUUGUAGAAUCCUGCAAUGUAGGAAUCUUAACUGUAAUCAUACACAAAGAACAUUUUUAGGAUCUGCUGCAAAGUACACACAGUAUUACCUGAUCCUUGAUACCGCGGAUACUGCAGAGCUAGCAAAGGGAAAAAGGUGCACUCAAGGGAAAAGCCUCUCCUUCUGUGCCUUUUCACACCCUUUAAAGCAGAUUGGAAAGCAUAUGCCAUGUGGAUGGAGGAAAGUCAGAAAAGGAAGAGACAGCAGCUAAAGGGACAGAUUAGGAAAGAUGAGAAGGAAAAGGGAGCGAUAGAACAAAAAUCACACACACGCACAACAUAUUAACAAACAAUUUCCUCUUCUUUCCGAGCUGAAUCUUGGGAGGAUCCAUCCUGAUCUGGACUCCGCUCCACCACCACCAUACAACCCAGCUGCUGCACCACAAGAGCCUUCCCCAGCAUCACAACAGGAUGGAGCAGGGGCCAGCAGCAGGGGACCAGCAGAUGGCACUAGAAGCAAGACGAGGGUGGUCAAGCAACCGAAAGCAGAAGGGGAAGAAGUAAUACGGCAUGACGCCAGGCCCCCUUUGCCAGAAACCCCCACAGAAACCCCCGCUGAACAGUCAUACCCAAUGAUGAAGGUGGCAGGACCCAGCGGGGUAAUGUUGGUCCACCGCCCAUGGACAGAGGCAGACCUUACUGAUGCCAUUUCUUGCCUGCCCCCCCAGAGAAGAACUCAACUCAGUGGGUGGGGCACGAGGACGAGGCAGAGGCAGGUUUCGAAACAACGUGCGGGGCAGAGGGGGCAGCCACUGGGACCCAGAAGAAUGUUUUAACUGUAGAGAAAAAGGACAUUGGUCAAAUGAGUGCCCCCACCAUGAGGGAGGAAGGAGAACAGCCCAGAACCCCAGAAGAACAGGAGCCACCCAGGAGGAAGCAGGAUGAGCCUGGCGACUGGGUGAUUAUCAAAAACUUCAGGAGAAAGCACUGGAAACAGUGGCAGUUCAGAGGCCCCUUUCAGAUCCUCCUUAUCAUUCAGACAGCUGUAAAGGUCGCUGGGAGAAUCUCCUGGAUCCACGCCAGCCACUGAAAGCGCAUCCCGGAGCCAGAAGACACCCAUCCAUCGAUGACUCCCAAGUCAGCGUAGAGUAGCGUGCCAAGCUACCAACGAACCUGAAGGUGAGCUGCCACCCACUAUACACACACGACAAAUAAGAGUGGGGCUGCAUGGACCAACAUGGCUACAGGUGGCAGUUGAGCCCGCCUUAGUCGCACCAGUGAUUGACACAAUACACAUACUCUCCUGAGAUUUACACUUGCACACACAUGAGUAACCUUGAGUUGCCAUGGCACCCAUUCAGACACAAUAACUGUUAGCCAGAAAUCCAAAUAAUCAUGUUCUCUGUGGCCUUGUUGUUAUCUGUGAGCUGUUUCAUAUAAAAACGUUGCUGAGAAUAUUUUUUGCACUGUCUCCUUCUAGUGUGCCUAUUGCUACUUUAUUGGUUUCAGUCCUCUUGCAAGAGCUAAAAUAAAAUACAUUUAGACAGUUUUCUUCUUUUCUCACAGUCUCUUAAUUCCCCUCAUUUUUUCCACCGCAAUACCAAAUGUGAAGAAUAAGCCGUGCAGCCUACACUGCCUUCCUGAAAGUCUGAGUAGGCUGCACAGCCUGUUCUUCACAGCGCUAUAUAAAUAAUU